rnacentral:rRNA from 1 species
GGGGAAUAUUGGACAAUGGGCGCAAGCCUGAUCCAGCAAUGCCGCGUGGGUGAAGACGGCCUGCGGGUUGUAAAGCCCUUUGGGCGGGGAAGAACGGCGGGCCGCGAACAGCGGUCCGCCCUGACAUUACCCGCAGAACAAGCACCGGCUAACUCCGUGCCAGCAGCCGCGGUAAUACGGAGGGUGCGAGCGUUAAUCGGAAUUACUGGGCGUAAAGCGUGCGUAGGCGGUCCGGUCAGUCAGCCGUGAAAGCCCCGGGCUCAACCUGGGAACGGCGGUUGAGACGGCCGGACUGGAGUGGGCUAGAGGAUCGUGGAAUUCCGGGUGUAGCGGUGAAAUGCGUAGAGAUCCGGAGGAACACCGAUGGCGAAGGCAGCGGUCUGGGACCACACUGACGCUGAGGCACGAAAGCGUGGGGAGCAAAC